rnacentral:rRNA from 1 species
GGACCCGCACAAGCGGUGGAGCAUGUGGUUUAAUUCGAUGCAACGCGAAAAACCUUACCUACUCUUGACAUACUUGGGAGCUCUUGUAAUGAGAGUGUGCCUUAUGGAACCAAGAUACAGGUGCUGCAUGGCUGUCGUCAGCUCGUGUCGUGAGAUGUUCCGUUAAGUCGGAUAACGAGCGCAACCCUUACCCUUAUUUGCCAGCGAUUCGGUCGGGAACUAUAAGGGGACUGCCGGUGAUAAACCGGAGGAAGGUGAGGACGACGUCAAGUCAUCAUGGCCCUUACGAGUAGGGCUACACACGUGCUACAAUGGGGAAUACAGACGGACGCUAAGCCGCGAGGUGGUGCUAAUCCUAGAAAACCGAUCGUAGUCCGGAUCGUAGUCUGCAACUCGACUACGUG